AUAACAUAGAAAAACUUAUUCUAAGAGUCUACAGAAUGAUUUGAACCACUCCAUACCUCAGUAGACUGGGUUCUGAAAUCUCCAUAACUGAAUCAAAAUGAAACUAAUAUUUCAAGGUGAAAUUCACUAGCAUGUGAAGAAAACCAUUUAAUUUGGCAUUAUCUAUAUUUCAUUAAAUCUAAGAGCUUAAAAUAUAAAAAUGGCUCUGACUUUUAAGGAGUCAGGAAGUAAAACAAAGACGCAUUCAUUUACUUAGAGAAAGAAGAUGUGAAUAGUUUAAUCACAGACUAAUGAGAGUACAUGUAAUGGUUUCUCCUUUUAAAAAUGCAGUCAUAGAGUUCCUGUCGAGGCGCAGCAGAAAUGAAUCCGACUAGGAACCAUGAGGUUGUGGGUUCAGUCCAUCACCUUGCUCAGCGGGUUAAGGAUCUGGCAUUGCCUUGAGCUGUGGUAUGGGUCACAGAUGCAGCUCGGAUCUGGCAUUGCUAUGCUCUGCCAUAGGCUAAUGGCUACAGCUCUGAUUAGACCCUAGCCUGGGAACCUCCAAUGUGCAGGUGCAGCCCUAAAAAGACAAAAGGCAAAAAAAAAAAAAAAAAAAAAAAAAUGCAUUCAAUAGUAAAUGAGGAAAGGAUCCCCUGUAUUCAGAAUUAUAGUUACGUACAAGUGCAUCCAAUACAAUCAAAUAAAAAGAAAGUAGUGUAUGUAUAGACAAAGAUGAUUUUAAAACUUAAUGAAGUCUCUAACAAAUUAGGGUAAACUCAUCUGCCUGGCUUUCAAGGCUGUUGCCCUAGUUUGCAGAGGUCUUCCCAUAUAAUGAUCCUAGGCCCCAAUUAAAUCUAUCUACUGCUAUUGCUUCACACAUUCAUCUUAUGCUAUUAAAUCUUGCUUGUGUUUUUCCCCUCCAGCCUAAGUGCUCCAGUCUAUGCUUUCAGAACCCUAUUCAUCUUUCAAGCUCCAUUUAAAAAUGUCGCUUCUAUUUCGUAAAGAUAUCCUUAUUUUCCCCUUUAAUUUCAAAGCUAAAAUGUAUAUCCUCUCCCCUUUUAACUUCCAUUCCAUUAAGAUAGAGAGUAGUUAGAGAAGAGUCUUAGGAAACGGUUUGAAGUUAAGUAAUUUUGCUAAAAGAUUUAUUAACAUUCAAGUCCUCAUGCAAAUUUUUUUCCAAGUCACUUAAUCAUUCAACAAUUCGCUGACUGUUUAUUUCAAGCCAAACCCUGUGCUAGAACCCAGAAAUAAAAAGAUAGAUUAAGACAUAGUAUCUAUUUCUCAAAAAUUUCAAAUCCAAUGAGCAAGAGAGAUUUGAACAUUGCCGGAAAACAAAAGCAGAGAAAAGGGCCACAAAGAAGCAGGGCCGUAGCACUGUCACCAGAAAUUUUCAUAAGUAUCUACAUGUCUAAUUUAUUCAAGAUUCAGACUGUCGACAUCAGUGAGGAUUAUUUUGUCAUAUCAUCCUCCACUACUAAAGGUAGACUUUAGACAGAAGUAAAAAAUAAAAACCAAUAAAUGCAACAAAAAAUAUAAAACUCUCAUUUGUUAGCCUAUACAUGUUUGAAUUUACUCCUCAGUUUCAUUUGUUUCAGUUUUUCACAUUUCAUGGUUCACUUAGCUCUCAUGAGUCAGAUGAAACAUUUAAAAAAAUCUAUUCUUAUCUACUGAUUUGCAUAUAUGUUUAUUUUAUAAGCUUGGAAUUUUCAGAUGAAAUUUCUGACCACAGUGUUGAAGUCCCAUGAUAGAGCAUAAACAUUUCUAACAAUUUCCUCGGUAAUCCAAUCU
rnacentral:lncRNA from 1 species